UGACAGCCCCGUACACAAAAAUGCACAUGCUGUGAGCUCGAUGAGUAGGGCGGGACACGUGGUAUCCUGUCUGAAUAUGGGGGGACCAUCCUCCAAGGCUAAAUACUCCUGACUGACCGAUAGUGAACCAGUACCGUGAGGGAAAGGCGAAAAGAACCCCGGCGAGGGGAGUGAAAAAGAACCUGAAACCGUGUACGUACAAGCAGUGGGAGCACGCUUAGGCGUGUGACUGCGUACCUUUUGUAUAAUGGGUCAGCGACUUAUAUUCUGUAGCAAGGUUAACCGAAUAGGGGAGCCGAAGGGAAACCGAGUCUUAACUGGGCGUUAAGUUGCAGGGUAUAGACCCGAAACCCGGUGAUCUAGCCAUGGGCAGGUUGAAGGUUGGGUAACACUAACUGGAGGACCGAACCGACUAAUGUUGAAAAAUUAGCGGAUGACUUGUGGCUGGGGGUGAAAGGCCAAUCAAACCGGGAGAUAGCUGGUUCUCCCCGAAAGCUAUUUAGGUAGCGCCUCGUGAAUUCAUCUCCGGGGGUAG
rnacentral:rRNA from 1 species